rnacentral:rRNA from 1 species
GCACGGAGUUAGCCGGUGCUUAUUCUUCAGGUACCGUCAUUAGCAAAAGAUAUUAGCUUUCACCGUUUCUUCCCUGACAAAAGAGCUUUACAACCCGAAGGCCUUCUUCACUCACGCGGCAUUGCUGGAUCAGGCUUUCGCCCAUUGUCCAAUAUUCCCCA